rnacentral:rRNA from 1 species
CGGACGGGUGAGUAACGCGUGAGAAUCUGCCUUAUGGACGGGGACAACAACUGGAAACGGUUGCUAAAACCCGAUGUGCCUCUUAGGAGGUGAAAUAUUAAUAGCCAGAAGAGGAGCUCGCGUCUGAUUAGCUAGUUGGAGUGGUAAGAGCACACCAAGGCGACGAUCAGUAGCUGGUCUGAGAGGAUGAACAGCCACACUGGGACUGAGACACGGCCCAGACUCCUACGGGAGGCAGCAGUGGGGAAUUUUCCGCAAUGGGCGAAAGCCUGACGGAGCAAGACCGCGUGGGGGAGGAAGGUCUAUUGAUUGUAAACCCCUUUUCUGAGGAAAGAAAAAAAUGACGGUACCUCAGGAAUAAGCAUCGGCUAACUCUGUGCCAGCAGCCGCGGUAAUACAGAGGAUGCAAGCGUUAUCCGGAAUUAUUGGGCGUAAAGAGUCCGUAGGGGGCUAAUCAAGUCUGUCGUUAAAGACUGCAGCUUAACUGCGGGCAGGCGAUGGAAACUGAGGAGCUAGAGAGCAGUAGGGGCAGAGGGAAUUCCCAGUGUAGCGGUGAAAUGCGUAGAGAUUGGGAAGAACAUCGGUGGCGAAAGCGCUCUGCUGGGCUGAAUCUGACCCUGAGGGACGAAAGCUAGGGGAGCAAAAGGGAUUAGAUACCCCUGUAGUC